UUCCUGGUGGUCCAGUGGUUAAGACUCUGCCUUUCCACUACAGGGGGCGCAGGUUCAAUUCCUGGUCAGGAAA
rnacentral:tRNA from 1 species